CCUACGGGAGGCUGCAGUGAGGAAUAUUGGUCAAUGGGCGCGAGCCUGAACCAGCCAAGUCGCGUGAGGGAAGACGGUCCUAUGGAUUGUAAACCUCUUUUGUCGGGGAGCAAAAGACGCCACGCGUGGCGUUCCGAGAGUACCCGAAGAAAAAGCAUCGGCUAACUCCGUGCCAGCAGCCGCGGUAAUACGGAGGAUGCGAGCGUUCUCCGGAUUUAUUGGGUGUAAAGGGGGCGCAGGCGGAAGAUCAAGGCAGCGGUAAAAUUGAGAGGCUCAACCUCUUCGAGCCGUUGAAACUGGGGUUCUUGAGUGAGUGAGAGGUAUGCGGAAUGCGUGGUGUAGCGGUGAAAUGCAUAGAUAUCACGCAGAACUCCGAUUGCGAAGGCAGCAUACCGGCGCUCAACUGACGCUCAUGCACGAAAGUGUGGGUAUCGAACAGGAUUAGAUACCCUAGUAGUC
rnacentral:rRNA from 1 species